rnacentral:rRNA from 1 species
UACGGAGGGGGCUAGCGUUGUUCGGAAUUACUGGGCGUAAAGCGCACGUAGGCGGCUUUGUAAGUUAGAGGUGAAAGCCCGGGGCUCAACUCCGGAAUUGCCUUUAAGACUGCAUCGCUAGAAUUGUGGAGAGGUGAGUGGAAUUCCGAGUGUAGAGGUGAAGUUCGUAGAUAUUCGGAAGAACACCAGUGGCGAAGGCGACUCACUGGACACAUAUUGACGCUGAGGUGCGAAAGCGUGGGGAGCAAACAGG